GGGGGAGUGAAGGGGUAGGCAGUGGUGUCGUAUCGAAUAUCAUUGAUUUAGAAGUUAUCUUUUCAAACUUUAAAGAAACUGUUAUAAUCAGCUUUUAAAAUGGUGUAAUCCGAUGCCCCAAAAAGCAAUCAUAAAGCGAUAGUAAAAUAACUCACAAUUGAUAAAGAUAUAACAUAAUCAUAAUACAUAAACAAUAUAUUUUAUCAAAUUGGAAAACGGAACACUCAACUACAUGUUUUAUACGAACAUAUCCGAUAAAUAUUGUUUUUAGAAAAAAAAAAAUGUUACAUA
rnacentral:lncRNA from 1 species